rnacentral:misc_RNA from 1 species
AAGUCGUAACAAGGUCUCCGUUGGUGAACCAGCGGAGGGAUCAUUACCGAGUUUACAACUCCCAAACCCAAUGUGAACCAUACCAAACUGUUGCCUCGGCGGGGUCACGCCCCGGGUGCGUCGCAGCCCCGGAACCAGGCGCCCGCCGGAGGGACCAACCAAACUCUUUACUGUAGUCCCCUCGCGGACGUUAUUUCUUACAGCUCUGAGCAAAAAUUCAAAAUGAAUCAAAACUUUCAACAACGGAUCUCUUGGUUCUG